rnacentral:rRNA from 1 species
GACGAACGCUGGCGGCGUGCUUAACACAUGCAAGUCGAGCGGAAAGGCCACUUCGGUGGUACUCGAGCGGCGAACGGGUGAGUAACACGUGAGUAAUCUGCCCUUGGCUUUGGGAUAGCCACCGGAGACGGUGAUUAAUACCGGAUAUGACCACUCUAGGCAUCUAGUGGUGGUGGAAAGUUUUUCGGCCAGGGAUGUGCUAGCGGCCUAUCAGCUUGAUGGUGAGGUAAUGGCUCACCAUGGCUUCGACGGGUAGCCGGCCUGAGAGGGUGACCGGUCACACUGGGACUGAGACACGGCCCAGACUCCUACGGGAGGCAGCAGUGGGGAAUAUUGGACAAUGGGCGGAAGCCUGAUCCAGCAACGCCGCGUGAGGGAUGACGGCCUUCGGGUUGUAGACCUCUUUCAGCAGGGACGAAGCGCAAGUGACGGUACCUGCAGAAGAAGCACCGGCCAACUACGUGCCAGCCGCCGCAGUAACAC